GAUGAAGAACGUAGCGAAAUGCGAAAAGUAAUGUGAAUUGCAGAAUUCAGUGAAUCAUCUAAUCUUUGAACGCACAUUGCGCCCGCUGGUACUCCGGCGGGCACGCCUGUCCGAGCGUCAUUUCAACCCUCAAGCCCUCCUUCGGGAUGGGCCUGGUGUUGGGGCUCGGCCGCCAUCUCCGGCGGCCGUCCCCUAAAUACAGUGGCGGUCACGUCGCGACUCCUUUGCGUAGUAGAAACACCUCGCUCCGGAUAGCAACGCGGUCCACGCCGUAAAACCCCCAAUUUUCAAUGGUUGACCUCGGAUCAGGUGGGAAUACCCGCUGAACUUAAGCAUAUCAAUAAGCGGAGGA
rnacentral:misc_RNA from 1 species